GUUGGGAGAGCCAGAACAUCUUUUGUCUCCACAUGGUCCAGUUCUGUCCUUGGUAUGGAACAGAAGUUCUACUGCCACAAGCCCAAUCUUCAGGCCUUCUAAGGUAAAAACAUUGACAUGAGGACAGGAUCAACAUAACAGAGUAUUUUAGCACUGUUUUGUAUGCAGCAAAAGUCAAGCUUUGUACCUACAACUCUUCAGAUACUUUAAAAAUCUGCAGGUCAUCCAAACUCUCCA
rnacentral:lncRNA from 1 species